rnacentral:lncRNA from 1 species
GACCAGCCAUAACGACAAUCUGUGAAGUUGAGAUUCCUAUACACCAACAAAGAAGUAAAAUUAAAUUGGAACAAUCAAAAGCAAAGACAUUCGGUUAUGUCGAAGGGAGAUAACAGUGUACCUAAGGUGCUGUUGCUACUGGUCGCCUGAGCUUUACCACUAAAACUUCCAUCAGAGCCGCGCAAACCGCUAUUAGUUUCCAACAUAUUCAGAUCUGGUGGAUGCAUUUCGCCGACCAGCUGUUCUUGUACUAGGGUUUCUUAAUAUUAUCCAUCAGACUUGGUUAUUUCUCACAGUUAUCAAUUAACCCCGUC